rnacentral:rRNA from 1 species
ACUCCUACGGGAGGCAGCAGUGGGGAAUAUUGCACAAUGGGCGCAAGCCUGAUGCAGCCAUGCCGCGUGUGUGAAGAAGGCCUUCGGGUUGUAAAGCACUUUCAGUCGUGAGGAAGGUAGUGUAGUUAAUAGCUGCAUUAUUUGUACGUUAGCGACAGAAGAAGCACCGGCUAACUCCGUGCCAGCAGCCGCGGUAAUACGGAGGGUGCGAGCGUUAAUCGGAAUUACUGGGCGUAAAGCGCAUGCAGGUGGUUUGUUAAGUCAGAUGUGAAAGCCCGGGGCUCAACCUCGGAAUAGCAUUUGAAACUGGCAGACUAGAGUACUGUAGAGGGGGUUAGAAUUUCAGGUGUAGCGGUGAAAUGCGUAGAGAUCUGAAGGUAAUACCGGUGGCGAAGGCGGCCCCUGGACAGAUACUGACACUCAGAUGCGAAAGCGUGGGAGCAAACAGGAUUAG